rnacentral:rRNA from 1 species
UACGUAGGGUGCGAGCGUUGUCCGGAUUUAUUGGGCGUAAAGAGCUCGUAGGCGGUUUGUCGCGUCUGCCGUGAAAGUCCGGGGCUCAACUCCGGAUCUGCGGUGGGUACGGGCAGACUAGAGUGAUGUAGGGGAGACUGGAAUUCCCGGUGUAGCGGUGAAAUGCGCAGAUAUCGGGAAGAACACCCGUGGCGAAGGCGGCACUCUGGGACGGUACUGACGCUGAGACGCGAAAGCGUGGGGAGCGAACAGG